UUGAUUAUGGUCUGAUGAACUGAAGCGCGGGACGUUGACAUGCAAGCUGAACGGCACGGACUUCGGUCUGGUGGUUGAGGGCGAACGGUGAGUAAUGUAUUCUGGAACGUGCCUAGUAGCGGGGGAUAACUAAAGAAAGCGAAGCAUUAUCGUGAUAUGCCUUUCGGGGAAAGCGGGGGACCUUCGGGCCUCGCACUAUUAGGAGCACGAUAUCGGAUUAGCUGCUGGUGGGGUAACGGCUCACCAAUGACGAUCCGUAGCUGGUUUGAGAGGACGACCUGGGCCACACUGGGACUGGAGACACGGCCCGUGACUCCUACGGGAGGCAGCAGUGGGAAUUUGGACAAUGGGGAAACCCUGAUCCAGCCAUCCUGGCGUGUGCGAUGAAGGCCUUCGUUGUAAAGCACUUUUGGCAGGAAAGAAACGCACGGGAUAAUACCCCGUGCAACUGACGGUACCUGCAGAAUAAGCACCGGCUAACCACGUGCCAGCAGCCGCGGUAAUACGUAGUAAGCGUUAAUUCUGGAAUUACUGGGCGUAAAGCGUGCGCAGGCGGUUCGUUAUGAUGGAAUCCCAGAGCUUAACUUUGGAACUGCAUUUUUAACUACCGGAGCUAGAGUGUCAGGAGGGAGGUGGGAUUCGGCGUGUAGCAGUGAAAUGCGUAGAUAUGCGGAGGAACACCGAUGGCGAAGGCAGCCUCCUCUGGGAUAACACUGACGCUCAUGCACGAAAGCGUGGGGAGUAAACAGGGAUUAGAUACCUCUGUAGUCCACGCCCUAAACGAUGUCAACUAGCUGUUGGGGCCUUCGGGUCAGGCGCAGCUAACGCGUGAAGUUGACCGCCUGGGGGAAAUGAUGAAUCAUUCUGCAAGAUUAAAACUCCAAAGGAAUUGAUGACCCGCACAAGCGGUGGAUGAUGUGGAUUAAUUCGAUGCAACGCGAAAAACCUUACCUACUCCUGACAUGUCUGGAAUCCCGAAGAGAUUUGGGAGUGCUCGCAAGAGAACCGGAACACAGGUGCUGUAUGGCUGUCGUCAGCUCGCCGUGAGAUGCUGGGUUAAGUCCUUGCAACGAGCGCAACCCUGUCAUUAGUUGCUACGAAAGGGCACUCUAAUGAGACUGCCGGUGACAAAUCGGAGGAAGGUGGGGAUGACGUCAAGUCCCUCAUGGCCUUGCGGGUAGGGCUUCACACGUCAUACAAUGGUCGGGACAGAGGGUCGCCAACCUGCGAGGGAGCCAAUCCCAGAAACCCGAUCGGGGUGUCCGAUCGCAGUCUGUAACUCGACUGCGUUAGAAGUCGGAAUCGCUAGUAAUCGCGGAUCAGCAUGUCGCGGUGAAUACGUUCCUGGUCUUGUACACACCGCCCGUCACACCAUGGGAGUGGGUUUUACCAGAAGCAGUUAGUCAACCAGAAGAAAGAUUAUCACGUAGAUCAUGAUCGUGCAGUUCGUAAAUUAAG
rnacentral:rRNA from 1 species